GACGAACGCUGGCGGCGUGCUUAACACAUGCAAGUCGAACGGAAACGCCCUGCCUUUGUGGGGUGCUCGAGUGGCGAACGGGUGAGUAACACGUGAGUAACCUGCCUUUGACUUUGGGAUAACUUCAGGAAACUGGGGCUAAUACCGGAUAGGAGCUCCUGCUGCAUGGUGGGGGUUGGAAAGUUUCGGCGGUUGGGGAUGGACUCGCGGCUUAUCAGCUUGUUGGUGGGGUAGUGGCUUACCAAGGCUUUGACGGGUAGCCGGCCUGAGAGCGUGACCGGCCACAUUGGGACUGAGGUACGGCCCAGACUCCUACGGGAGACAGCAGUCGGGAAUAUUGCACAGUGGGCGGAAGCCUGAUGCAGCAACGCCGCGUGCGGGAUGACCGCCUUCGGGUUGUAAACCGCUUUCGCCUGUGACGAAGCGUGAGUGACGGUAAUGGGUAAAUAAGCACCGGCUAACUACGUG
rnacentral:rRNA from 1 species